UACGGAGGGGGCUAGCGUUGUUCGGAAUUACUGGGCGUAAAGCGCACGUAGGCGGACUGUUAAGUCGGGGGUGAAAUCCUGGGGCUCAACCUCAGAAUUGCCUCCGAUACUGGCAGUCUCGAGUCCGGGAGAGGUGAGUGGAACUGCGAGUGUAGAGGUGAAAUUCGUAGAUAUUCGCAAGAACACCAGUGGCGAAGGCGGCUCACUGGCCCGGUACUGACGCUGAGGUGCGAAAGCGUGGGGAGCAAACAGG
rnacentral:rRNA from 1 species